rnacentral:rRNA from 1 species
GACGAACGCUGGCGGCGUGCUUAACACAUGCAAGUCGAACGGAAAGGCCCUGCUUGCAGGGUACUCGAGUGGCGAACGGGUGAGUAACACGUGGGUGAUCUGCCCUGCACUUCGGGAUAAGCCUGGGAAACUGGGUCUAAUACCGGAUAGGAGCCAUUUUUAGGGUGGGUGGUGGAUAGUUUUUUCGGUGUGGGGUGAGCGCGCGGUCUAUCAGCUUGUUUGUGGGGUAAGUGGCUACCGACGCGGCGGCGGGCGGGCAGCCUGGGAGGGUGGACGGCCACAAUGGGGCUGAGGGUCGGCCCAGACUCCGAAGGGGGGGAGCAGUGGGGAAUAUUGGCCAAUGGGCGCAAGCCCGAUGCAGCGACGCCGCGGGGGGGAUGACGGGCCUUGGGGUGGAAACUCCUUUCGCUAGGGACGAAGCUGUUUGUGACGGUACCUAGAUAAGAAGCACCGGCUAACUACGUG